AUAAUGGGUCAGCGACUUAUAUUCUGUAGCAAGGUUAACCGAAUAGGGGAGCCGAAGGGAAACCGAGUCUUAACUGGGCGUUAAGUUGCAGGGUAUAGACCCGAAACCCGGUGAUCUAGCCAUGGGCAGGUUGAAGGUUGGGUAACACUAACUGGAGGACCGAACCGACUAAUGUUGAAAAAUUAGCGGAUGACUUGUGGCUGGGGGUGAAAGGCCAAUCAAACCGGGAGAUAGCUGGUUCUCCCCGAAAGCUAUUUAGGUAGCGCCUCGUGAAUUCAUCUCCGGGGGUAGAGCACUGUUUCGGCAAGGGGGUCAUCCCGACUUACCAACCCGAUGCAAACUGCGAAUACCGGAGAAUGUUAUCACGGGAGACACACGGCGGGUGCUAACGUCCGUCGUGAAGAGGGAAACAACCCAGACCGCCAGCUAAGGUCCCAAAGUCAUGGUUAAGUGGGAAACGAUGUGGGAAGGCCCAGACAGCCAGGAUGUUGGCUUAGAAGCAGCCAUCAUUUAAAGAAAGCGUAAUAGCUCACUGGUCGAGUCGGCCUGCGCGGAAGAUGUAACGGGGCUAAACCAUGCACCGAAGCUGCGGCAGCGACGCUGAUGCGUUGUUGGGUAGGGGAGCGUUCUGUAAGCCUGCGAAGGUGUACUGUGAGGUAUG
rnacentral:rRNA from 1 species